rnacentral:rRNA from 1 species
GAUGAACGCUAGCGGCAGGCCUAAUACAUGCAAGUCGGACGGGAUUCGGGUGCUUGCACCUGAUGAGAGUGGCGCACGGGUGCGUAACACGUAUGUAACCUACCUUAGUCAGGGGGAUAGCCUCUCGAAAGAGAGAUUAAGACCGCAUAACAUCAUUGAAUGGCAUCAUUUGACGAUCAAAUAUUUAUAGGACUAAGAUGGGCAUGCGCAACAUUAGCUAGUUGGUGUGGUAACGGCAUACCAAGGCUACGAUGUUUAGGGGAUCUGAGAGGACGACCCCCCACACUGGUACUGAGACACGGACCAGACUCCUACGGGAGGCAGCAGUAAGGAAUAUUGGUCAAUGGACGGAAGUCUGAACCAGCCAUGCCGCGUGCAGGAAGACGGCCCUAUGGGUUGUAAACUGCUUUUGCAGGGGAAUAAACCUCGGUACGUGUACCGAGUUGAAUGUACCUUGAGAAUAAGGAUCGGCUAACUCCGUGCCAGCCGCCGCUGUAAAAC